rnacentral:rRNA from 1 species
AUUGAACGCUGGCGGCAGGCCUAACACAUGCAAGUCGAACGGUAACAGGAAGCAGCUUGCUGCUUUGCUGACGAGUGGCGGACGGGUGAGUAAUGUCUGGGAAACUGCCUGAUGGAGGGGGAUAACUACUGGAAACGGUAGCUAAUACCGCUUAACUUCGCAAGACCAAAGAGGGGGACCUUAGGGCCUCUUGCAAUGGGAUGUGCCCGGAUGGGAUUAGCUAGUAGGUGGGGUAACGGCUCACCUAGGCGACGAUCCCUAGCUGGUCUGAGAGGAUGACCAGCCACACUGGAACUGAGACACGGGCCAGACUCCUACGGGAGGCAGCAGUGGGGAAUAUUGCACAGUGGGCGCAAGCCUGAUGCAGCCAUGCCGCGUGUAUGAAGAAGGCCUUCGGGUUGUAAAGUACUUUCAGCGGGGAGGAAGGGAGUAAAGUUAAUACCUUUGCUCAUUGACGUUACCCGCAGAAGAAGCACCGGCUAACUCCGU